rnacentral:rRNA from 1 species
GACGAACGCUGGCGGCGUGCUUAACACAUGCAAGUCGAACGGAAAGGCCCUGCUUUUGUGGGGUGCUCGAGUGGCGAACGUGUGAGUACCACGUGAGUAACCUGCCCUUGACUUUGUGAUAACUUCAGGAAACUGGGGCUAAUACCGGAUAGGUGCUCCUGCUGCAUGGUGGGGGUUGGCAUGUUUCGGCGGUUGGGGAUGGAAUCGCGGCUUAUCAGCUUGUUGGUGGGGUAGUGGCUUACCAAGGCUUUGACGGGUAGCCGGCCUGAGUGGGUGACCGGACAGAUUGGGACGGAGAUAAGGCACAGACUAAAACGGGAGGCAGGAGAGGAGAAUAGAGCACAAUGGGCGGAAGGAAGAUGAAGCAAAGCGGCGUGGGGGAAGAGGGGAAUCGGGUUGGAAAGCGAAUUCGCAUGAGACGAAGAGAGAGUGACGGUAAAGGGGAAAGAAGCACCGGCUAACUACGUG